AUUGAACGCUGGCGGCAGGCUUAACACAUGCAAGUCGCGCGGGGGAAGGUAGCUUGCUACCGGACCUAGCGGCGGACGGGUGAGUAAUGCUUAGGAAUCUGCCUAUUUGUGGGGGACAACAUCUCGAAAGGGAUGCUAAUACCGCAUACGUCCUACGGGAGAAAGCAGAGGAUCGUCGGACCUUGCGCUAAUAGAUGAGCCUAAGUCGGAUUAGCUAGUUGGGGGGGUAUAGGCCCACCAAGGCGACGAUCGGUAGCGGGUCUGAGAGGGUGAUCCGCCACACUGGGACUGAGACACGGCCCAGAGUCCUACGGGAGGCAGCAGGGGGGAAUAUUGGACAAUGGGGGGAACCCUGAUCCAGCCAUGCCGCGUGUGUGAAGAAGGCCUUAGGGUUGUAAAGCACUUUAAGCGAGGAGGAGGCUACUUUAGUUAAUACCUAGAGAUAGUGGACGUUACUCGCAGAAUAAGCACCGGCUAACUCUGUGCCAGCCGCCGCCGUAAUAC
rnacentral:rRNA from 1 species